CGUCAUAGCACGCCAUAUUGAACGCUAAGCACGAGGAUUUCAGCAAUUUUGAACAUUUGGAAAUGGGAAAAAAAUAAUGAAUUACGCUCUAGUGAUCCUGCAUGUGAAAGGUUAAAUGAUCCUUCACCAAAGGCUUAUGUGCAUUGUGUGGUGUGUAAUGCCAAUUCUUGGUAUUUUCCUGAAAGAAGAUUCUUUCGAUUUCCUAAAAAUCCAGAGAGAUCAGCACAAUGGCUUGAAGCAUGUAGAAUUUACUUGAUUGGACGUGACAAGGAAAUAUUAAAGAAGCCACCUUCUCUUUUAUAUCGAAGUCGUCUUUGUUCCACACAUUUUGAAGACAAUGCAUGUUCCACAACUAAGAAGCAUU